GUACAAGUCAUUGUUGACAUAUUAUCUUCGAACUAUUUACCUAUCUAGCUUCUUUACAAAAAAAAUAUUUCCUAUCUAGCCUCCUUUUGAAAAAUAUUCCCCAUCUAGCUUCAUCUUCAAAGAUUAGAGAAAAAAAGAGAAAUUAAUAUAUAUUAAGGGGUUAAGUGGGAGAGAUUAUCUUUUUCUCUCUCCUCUCCCAUUAAUUUUUAUAUCAAAAUAAUCUUGAUCCCAUUCGGCCUAUAAAUUUUAUGUUUUAAUGUAUUAAAACCUAAAGUACAAGAAAUCCAAAUAGUUUUGGAUCAGGACCAUUAUAAUCAACUCAUUCCGAAUCAUGCAUAAUAUUUUCAUCAAAAUAUAAAAAGAUUGAUGCGUUAUAUAAAAGUUUUCUAUUUUGAAAUAAAUCGAUAUGAGAUAAAUUAUACGCAAAAAUUAGAGAGUGAGAAGGGAUAUCGAAAAAUAGGAGAGGAGAGAGAAAAAGAUAAUCUCCCCCACUUAACCCCUUAAUAUAUAUUAAAGGUAUUAAUUUCUCUUUUUUUCUCUAAUCUUUGAAAAUGAGGCUAGAUGGGGAAUAUUUUUCAAAAGAAGGCUAGAUAGGGAAUAUUUUUUUGUAAAGAGACUAGAUAGGUAAAUAGUUCUAU
rnacentral:lncRNA from 1 species